rnacentral:rRNA from 1 species
GAUGAACGCUGGCGGCGUGCCUAAUACAUGCAAGUCGAGCGAACAGACGAGGAGCUUGCUCCUCUGCCGUUAGCGGCGGACGGGUGAGUAACACGUGGAUAACCUACCUAUAAGACUGGGAUAACUUCGGGAAACCGGAGCUAAUACCGGAUAAUAUAUUGAACCGCAUGGUUCAAUAGUUAAAGACGGUUUUGCUGUCACUUAUAGAUGGAUCCGCGCCGCAUUAGCUAGUUGGUAAGGUAACGGCUUACCAAGGCGACGAUGCGUAGCCGACCUGAGAGGGUGAUCGGCCACACUGGAACUGAGACACGGUCCAGACUCCUACGGGAGGCAGCAGUAGGGAAUAUUGCGCAAUGGGCGAAAGCCUGACGGAGCAACGCCGCGUGAGUGAUGAAGGUCUUCGGAUCGUAAAACUCUGUUAUUAGGGAAGAACAAAUGUGUAAGUAACUAUGCACGUCUUGACGGUACCUAAUCAGAAAGCCACGGCUAACUACGUG